rnacentral:rRNA from 1 species
AGUAAUGCAUAGGAAUCUGCCCGGUAGUGGGGGAUAACUUGAGGAAACUCAAGCUAAUACCGCAUACGCCCUACGGGGGAAAGCAGGGGCUCUUCGGACCUUGCGCUAUCGGAUGAGCUUAUGUCGGAUUAGCUAGUUGGUGAGGUAACGGCUUACCAAGGCGACGAUCCGUAGCUGGUCUGAGAGGAUGAUCAGCCACAUCGGGACUGAGACACGGCCCGAACUCCUACGGGAGGCAGCAGUGGGGAAUAUUGGACAAUGGGCGAAAGCCUGAUCCAGCCAUGCCGCGUGUGUGAAGAAGGCCCUCGGGUUGUAAAGCACUUUCAGUGAGG